GAACGCUGGCGGCGUGCUUAACACAUGCAAGUCGAACGGAAAGGCCCUGCUUUUGUGGGGUGCUCGAGUGGCGAACGGGUGAGUAACACGUGAGUAACCUGCCCUUGACUUUGGGAUAACUUCAGGAAACUGGGGCUAAUACCGGAUAGGAGCUCCUGCUGCAUGGUGGGGGUUGGAAAGUUUCGGCGGUUGGGGAUGGACUCGCGGCUUAUCAGCUUGUUGGUGGGGUAGUGGCUUACCAAGGCUUUGACGGGUAGCCGGCCUGAGAGGGUGACCGGCCACAUUGGGACUGAGAUACGGCCCAGACUCCUACGGGGGGCAGCAGUGGGGAAUAUUGCACAAUGGGCGGAAGCCUGAUGCAGCAACGCCGCGUGCGGGAUGACGGCCUUCGGGUUGUAAACCGCUUUCGCCUGUGACGAAGCGUGAGUGACGGUAAUGGGUAAAGAAGCACCGGCUAACUACGUGCCAGCAGCCGCGGUGAUACGUAGGGUGCGAGCGUUGUCCGGAUUUAUUGGGCGUAAAGGGCUCGUAGGUGGUUGAUCGCGUCGGAAGUGUAAUCUUGGGGCUUAACCCUGAGCGUGCUUUCGAUACGGGUUGACUUGAGGAAGGUAGGGGAGAAUGGAAUUCCUGGUGGAGCGGUGGAAUGCGCAGAUAUCAGGAGGAACACCAGUGGCGAAGGCGGUUCUCUGGGCCUUUCCUGACGCUGAGGAGCGAAAGCGUGGGGAGCGAACAGGCUUAGAUACCCUGGUAGUCCACGCUGUAAACGGUGGGUACUAGGUGUGGGGUCCAUUCCACGGGUUCCGUGCCGUAGCUAACGCUUUAAGUACCCCGCCUGGGGAGUACGGCCGCAAGGCUAAAACUCAAAGGAAUUGACGGGGCCCCGCACAAGCGGCGGAGCAUGCGGAUUAAUUCGAUGCAACGCGUAGAACCUUACCUGGGUUUGACAUGGAUCGGGAGUGCUCAGAGAUGGGUGUGCCUCUUUUGGGGUCGGUUCACAGGUGGUGCAUGCCUGUCGUCAGCUCGUGUCGUGAGAUGUUGGGUUAAGUCCCGCAACGAGCGCAACCCUUGUUCACUGUUGCCAGCACGUUAUGGUGGGGACUCAGUGGAGACCGCCGGGGUCAACUCGGAGGAAGGUGGGGAUGACGUCAAGUCCUCAUGCCCCUUAUGUCCAGGGCUUCACGCAUGCUACAAUGGCUGGUACAGAGAGUGGCGAGCCUGUGAGGGUGAGCGAAUCUCGGAAAGCCGGUCUCAGUUCGGAUUGGGGUCUGCAACUCGACCUCAUGAAGUCGGAGUCGCUAGUAAUCGCAGAUCAGCAACGCUGCGGUGAAUACGUUCCCGGGGCUUGUACACACCGCCCGUCAAGUCAUGAAAGUUGGUAACACCCGAAGCCGGUGGCCUAACCAUUGUGGGGGAGCCGUCGAAGGUGGGACUGGUGAUU
rnacentral:rRNA from 1 species